GAAAUAUCAAAUAAUCAAACCAAAUUGAACUAGACUUGCACACCCCUAAUAGUAAAAGUAUAGAUAUGUAAGAAAUGGCCGAUAGCCGGCUAUCGUGAAAUUUUAGCUAAGAGAAGGAGAAAGAAAGGGUGGCUCAGUGGCAAGCUGGCGACGCAUUAUUAUUAUUAUUAUUAUUAUUAUUAUUAUUAUUUUUUGUAGGAGGUGACGCAUUAUUAUUCAGAGAAUAAAGUUCUGGCCUUGCAAUCUUUACUGGGUUUUGGAAAUGCUUGGGUUAUGCAUGUUUUUCAAGUAAUUACUGGUGCUGGGGAUCAGUCUCUAUUUCAUGAGCCAAUUCCCUUGUCAACUUGUCAGCACGAUCAUCGUGUCCACCAGCAAAGGAAUAAACUCGGAAUGCAAACUGAAAUGCUCUCCAUAGCAUUUUAGCAUUAGCUUUAUUAGGUUUUGCUGUUCUUGCUUGUCUCCUCUCCUGAAUAAAUCCAAAAAGAAAGAAAAGAAGGCAACUCUAAUGUCAACCAAUUUUCCAAAUGAUCAUGACAUCUACCUCACAACAAAAUGUUAAUUCAACAACCUUGAGUGCUAGUUCCAUGCAGUUGGAGGAAACAUCCACCAGUGAUUCCUUGAUUUGCACAAUGAUAUGGAAGUCAAAGUGAAUAUUAUGACUUUGAAAUUUCUUGGAUUCUUCAUCUUUGGUUCUUUCCAAGGCAUCCAUUUCUCCUUUGAUCUGAGUUGCCCCAAGGGAGUUAUGAUCUUCCAAUUUUGAAGUUCAUAUGCUAUUCCAUUCAGCUUUGAGUAUAGUGCAGCUGCUGUCCUCAAUGCUUCCAACUUUUUUUGAGGGAAACCUUGAAACCUUGCAAGCACCUG